rnacentral:rRNA from 1 species
AUUGAACGCUGGCGGCAGGCCUAACACAUGCAAGUCGAGCGAGCGGCGGACGGGUGAGUAAUGUAUGGGGACUGCCCGAUAGAGGGGGGUAACUACUGGAAACGGUGGCUAAUACCGCAUACUAUCGGAUAACCCAUAUGGGUGUAGCUAGGUGGUGAGGUAACGGCUCACCAAGGCCACGAUGCAUAGCCGACCUGAGAGGAUGACCAGCCACACUGGGACGGAGACACGGCCCAGACUCCGACGGAGGCAGCAGUGGGGAAGAUUGCACAAUGGGCGCAAGCCUGAUGCAGCCAUGCCGCGUGUAUGAAGAAGGCCUUAGGGUUGUAAAGUACUUUCAGCGGGGAGGCGUUACCCGCAGAAGAAGCACCGGCUAACUCCGUGCCAGCAGCCGCGGUAAUUC